AGAGCGCAAGCUGGAGCUAAUCCCUAAAAGCCGGCCUCAGUGAGGAUUGCAGGCUGCAACCCGCCUGCAUGAAUGCGGAGCUGCUAGUAACCGCAGGUCAGCAUACUGCGGUGAAUACGUUCCCGGGCCUUGUACACACCGCCCGUCACGUCAUGGAAGUCGACAACACCUGAAGUCCGCGUACUAACCCGCCGCAAGGCGGGAGGCAGCGGCCGAGGGUGGGGCCGGUAACUGGGACGAAGUCGUAACAAGGUAGCUGUACCGGAAGGUGCGGCUGGAUCACCUCCUUUCUAGGGAGCA
rnacentral:rRNA from 1 species